rnacentral:rRNA from 1 species
CCUACGUGAGGCAGCAGUGGGGAAUAUUGCGCAAUGGGCGAAAGCCUGACGCAGCGACGCCGCGUGAGGGAUGAAGGUCUUCGGAUUGUAAACCUCUGUCAGCAGGGAAGAACGGUCACUGUGCUAAUCAGCAGUGAAUUGACGGUACCUGCAAAGGAAGCACCGGCUAACUCCGUGCCAGCAGCCGCGGUAAUACGGAGGGUGCGAGCGUUAAUCGGAAUUACUGGGCGUAAAGCGCUCGUAGGCGGUAUGUCAAGUCAAGGGUGAAAUCCCCGCGCUCAACGUGGGAACUGCCUUUGAAACUGGCAAACUGGAGUGUGUGAGAGGAUAGUGGAAUUCCAGGUGUAGGAGUGAAAUCCGUAGAUAUCUGGAGGAACAUCAGUGGCGAAGGCGACUAUCUGGCACAUAACUGACGCUGAGGAGCGAAAGCGUGGGUAGCAAACAGGAUUAGAUACCCCAGUAGUC